rnacentral:rRNA from 1 species
UACAGAGACUGCAAGCGUUAUUCGGAUUCACUGGGCGUAAAGGGUGCGCAGGCGGCCGUGUGUGUGAGGCGUGAAAGCCCGGGGCUCAACCCCGGAAUUGCACCUCAAACUACAUGGCUAGAGCAUUGGAGAGGGUAGCGGAAUUCACGGUGUAGCAGUGAAAUGCGUAGAUAUCGUGAGGAACACCAGAGGCGAAGGCGGCUACCUGGACAAUUGCUGACGCUCAUGCACGAAAGCGUGGGGAGCAAACAGG